UUACAUUCCAUGCGUAUAAGAUAAGCUGGCAAUAAAAAAGCGGAUUUUCCAACCACAAUGUGGGCUUUUUUUGAGCUGCUUAUUUCCUGCGUAUGUAGACAUAGAUUGCGACACGGUUAGCUUUUUUGCUAUGCCUUUGUAUCGCCAUCUUCUCUCGUUAUUCAUGCAGAUUUAAGCCCCAUUGUGGACUCGAAUCUGUAUUUUUUAU
rnacentral:ncRNA from 1 species